rnacentral:rRNA from 1 species
GACGAACGCUGGCGGCGUGCUUAACACAUGCAAGUCGAACGGAAAGGCCCUGCUUUCGUGGGGUGCUCGAGUGGCGAACGGGUGAGUAACACGUGAGUAACCUGCCCUUGACUUUGGGAUAACUUCAGGAAACUGGGGCUAAUACCGGAUAGGAGCUCCUGCUCCAUGGUGGGGGUUGGAAAGUUUCGGCGGUUGGGGAUGGAUUCGCGGCUUAUCAGCUUGUUGGUGGGGUAGUGGCUUACCAAGGCUUUGACGGGUAGCCGGCCUGUGAGGGUGACCGGCCACAUUGGGACUGAGAUACGGCCCAGACUCCUACGGGAGGCAGCAGUGGGGAAUAUUGCACAAUGGGCGGAAGCCUGAUGCAGCAACGCCGCGUGCGGGAUGACGGCCUUCGGGUUGUAAACCGCUUUCGCCUGUGACGAAGCGUGAGUGACGGUAAUGGGUAAAGAAGCACCGGCUAACUACGUG